rnacentral:rRNA from 1 species
CGCGUAGGCGGAUUUUCAAGUCGGAUGUGAAAUCCUAUGGCUUAACCAAAGGCCUGCAUCCGAUACUGUUAAUCUUGAGUACGGGAGAGGGAAGUGGAAUUCCAGGUGUAGCGGUGACAUGCGUAGAUAUCUGGAAGAACACCGGUGGCGAAGGCGGCUUCCUGGCCCGAUACUGACGCUCAGGCGCGAAAGCUAGGGGAGCAAACA